rnacentral:lncRNA from 1 species
GUUAAAAAGUCUAUAAAAGCAACAAGGGACACCAAAGACAAGGACACUUAACCAAUCAAUCAAAAGACAUCCCACUUUGCUCUCAGACAAGCAAGAAACCAGAAAGCUUUAGUUUAUCUAGACGCUGUUCUCUUAGCCAUAGAUUCACCAUAGAAAGACAUCUUUUGUCAAGAUUUAAAAGUUCUACUACUUUUCCCCAAUGCUAUAGUAUCGAAUCCCUUUAGUAAAAUGUGUUUUACCUUUCAUUCUGGAAAGAUUACAACCCUUGUAAAACACAAAGAGAAGUGGGUGGCUGCAAGAAGAUGAACCUUGCCUAACAAGGUUAUAAUCUUGCCUAAGUUUCUUUUAUUUGUAUUUACGUAAAGUAGAUAUGUUCUUUAAUGCAUUUCGUUCAAAGUUCUUUAAUAACAAGGAUUUUUACGUAAGGUUAUACUCAUUUCAACUACUUUUCAUUCAAAGUUUUAUUUUGAUGAUUAAUCGGGUUAGACUAAUUAACCUUGCUUCUUUAAUUUUAACUGUAAUCAAAGAAACAGUUGGAAGUAGGGGUGGGUUCGGUUUAAAUCAGUUCGGUUUUUUGCCAAAACCGAAACCAAACCGAAA